GAUAGAGCCACCGGAAGUCAGUUCUCUCUCCCUCUGUACGGAGUGUUGCGGAUAUGAAGUUAGAAUUGCUGCAGACAUCUAACCACCAGGACAGAAGCGAGCUAAGGAUGAAAUUCAACCACAGAGGGCAGACUGGAAAGAAAUGGGUUCUUGCCAUCACUGAACUGCUAAAUCAAAACUCAUUCUAGUUAUGUAAGCUAAUAAAAAAUUCUCUUUCGUAUGAGCCAGUCUACACUGGGUUUCUCUCUCUUGCAUAAGAGCCCUAACUGAUAUAACAUCCUGUGCAGCUAAUGAGGACUUCUAAUGCAGCUGCCGGCUUCACCACAUGACCAGCCCAUUCUUCUCCAUUUCCUCAAGCUCCCCGCCCAACAAAGGCCAGGGCAUAGUCUGGAAGCCCCUCUCCUGCGAGGCCAAGGCUCGCCUGUGCAAUGGCAAAGGCACCUGUAACUGAACACUCUCGGGGUCCACCACCCACAUGUAGCAAACACUUGUUCAUAAGCUGGAAAUGAAGAAAUGUUUCUUGUCAAGUUCUUAAGGCCUCCUUGCUGCUGGUAGCAACCCCCAGCGGGUCCUCUGUAAGGUGGGCAGGACACACUGGAGAACAAGCAGAAUGAACCGCUGCAACAGCUGCUGGAGGAGCCACUGCACCUGGAAGUCUGGGCCGGUGUGUGGCCCACGUCCCACCAAGCAGCAGGGGUGGC